rnacentral:rRNA from 1 species
GACGAACGCUGGCGGCGUGCUUAACACAUGCAAGUCGAACGGAAAGGCCCUGCUUUUGUGGGGUGCUCGAGUGGCGAACGGGUGAGUAACACGUGAGUAACCUGCCCUUGACUUUGGGAUAACUUCAGGAAACUGGGGCUAAUACCGGAUAGGAGCUCCUGCUGCAUGGUGGGGGUUGGAAAGUUUCGGCGGUUGGGGAUGGACUCGCGGCUUAUCAGCUGGUUGGUGGGGUAGUGGCUUACCAAGGCUUUGACGGGUAGCCGGCCUGGGAGGGUGACCGGCGACAUUGGGACUGAGAUACGGCCCAGACUCCUACGGGAGGCAGCAGUGGGGAAUAUUGCGCAAUGGGCGGAAGCCUGAUGCAGCAACGCCGCGUGCGGGAUGACGGCCUUCGGGUUGUAAACAGCUUUCGCCUGUGACGAAGCGUGAGUGACGGUAAUGGGUAAAGAAGCACCGGCUAACUACGUG